rnacentral:lncRNA from 1 species
UGACGGCCAAAGGACAUCUUUUCUGCAUCAUAAUCCAAGAGAAAGGAUUGCUACAGCAUCUCGUGGCACUUACUAGGUGAGAUACACUGACGCACACAAUUCACAAACCGUGAAAGCUUUGAUGGAUCAGCUGCAGCUACUCAUAUAUCCUUGGUUUUGUGGUUGUAGUAGCAGUAGGAGGGCAGCAGCCAUCCUCGUCUUCCCCAAUCUCAAUCUCCCUUGGCUUCCUUCUCCUUAGGCUUGCUGUUCUUCUUCGUCUUCAUGAAGCAGAAGCAGGAGCAGCAUGGGCACUGAAACAAGAACUUCAUGGCGUGUACCCUCCUAUGUUUUCUGAUCAAGGAAACUAUAUGACCUCAGUCUCUUCCCCUUCUCCUCCAUUUAAAUCCCUUCAAAAAGGAGUGGAAUCUAUUCCUUUCCCCGUCACCACAAAAAAAAGAAG